AGCAGUAGCCGCGGGAAUACAGAGGGUGCGAGCGUUAAUCGGAUUUACUGGGCGUAAAGCGUGCGUAGGCGGCUUUUUAAGUCGGAUGUGAAAUCCCUGAGCUUAACUUAGGAAUUGCAUUCGAUACUGGGAAGCUAGAGUAUGGGAGAGGAUGGUAGAAUUCCAGGUGUAGCGGUGAAAUGCGUAGAGAUCUGGAGGAAUACCGAUGGCGAAGGCAGCCAUCUGGCCUAAUACUGACGCUGAGGUGCGAAAGCGUGGGGAGCAAACAGGAUUAGAUACCCGGGUAGUCCCUGUCUCUUAUAC
rnacentral:rRNA from 1 species